rnacentral:lncRNA from 1 species
GGGAAGGCAGCGGAAGGGGCAGCAGAGGGCCGCCUUUGGGGAGCCCAUUUUCGCCACCAGGUCACGCGCCGCCGCCUUCGCGGUCCUAGGGUUUUGAUUUGGGUCUGUGAUUUGGCACCGGAGUUGGUCACUUGCUCCACUUCGUCAGUCGACAGCGGCGGCAUUGCAGGUUUUGGGAGGAGGAUUUUUUUUAGACAAAGAAGAUAAGCGGCGGGCGGCGGUAAGAUGGAGGAAAGAGCGGCGGUCGACAGGUUUUGGCAAAUAAUUGAUUUUCUAUUUUUUUUGUUUAUUUUUUUCCAAGUAGGCGCCACAUCAGCUCGGUAUUACCACGUAGGCGCCAUGUCAGCUCGGUAUUGCCACGCAGGCGCCAGCUAAGACCGGACCUUCAUCGGAGGUAAAAACCGUAGCAAAAUUGAUCAACCCCUUAAGUUCAUGGAAAAUUUGAUAAAAAAAAUAGUUCAUGGAAAGUUUGGAAAUCGCACCAAAGUUCAUGGUUUUUCACGGCAUUAACCCUUAUAUUUACCCUUUUUUAUGUUUUUCAGUUCAUUUCUUUCUUUGUUUUAUUUAUGUUUCUAUUUCAGUAUUUUUUUUUGUUUUGUUUUUACUGCUUUAGUUUUUUCUUUCUUUUUUUCUGAUUUUUUUACAAUUUUUUUUUAUUUUAUAAUGUAAUGUUUUUGAAUCAGUACUUUUCAUCAUAUCAACAAUUACUUUUUCUUGCGACAAUGAUUAUUUUACCAAAUAUAUAAAAGUACAAGCUCUAAUGAAUAAGAAUAACAUUACUUUUAUACAUAUCAAUGUUUUUUUUUUACAAUAAUAAUUAUUUGAUCAAAUAGCUAGAAGUACAA